rnacentral:rRNA from 1 species
GGCUCAGUAUUGAACGCUGGCGGCAUGCUUUACACAUGCAAGUCGAACGGUAACAGGUCUUCGGAUGCUGACGAGUGGCGAACGGGUGAGUAAUGCAUCGGAACGUCGCCCAGUCGGUGGGGGAUAACGCAGCGAAAGCUGUGCUAAUACCGCAUACCGCCUGGAGGGGAAAGCGGGGGAUCGAAAGACCUCGCGCGAUUAGAGCGGCCGAUGCCUGAUUAGCUUGUUGGUGGGGUAAAAGCCCACCAAGGCGACGAUCAGUAGCUGGUCUGAGAGGACGAUCAGCCACACUGGGACUGAGACACGGCCCAGACUCCUACGGGAGGCAGCAGUGGGGAAUUUUGGACAAUGGGGGAAACCCUGAUCCAGCAAUGCCGCGUGAGUGAAGAAGGCCUUCGGGUUGUAAAGCUCUUUUGUCAGGGAAGAAACACCGGCUCUAACACAGUCCGGGAAUGACGGUACCUGAAGAAUAAGCACCGGCUAACUACGUG